GACGAACGCUGGCGGCGUGCUUAACACAUGCAAGUCGAACGAGGAGCGAUGGAAGCUUGCUUCUAUCAAUCUUAGUGGCGAACGGGUGAGUAACGCGUAAUCAACCUGCCCUUCAGAGGGGGACAACAGUUGGAAACGACUGCUAAUACCGCAUACGAUCUAAUCUCGGCAUCGAGGAUAGAUGAAAGGUGGCCUCUACAUGUAAGCUAUCACUGAAGGAGGGGAUUGCGUCUGAUUAGCUAGUUGGAGGGGUAACGGCCCACCAAGGCGAUGAUCAGUAGCCGGUCUGAGAGGAUGAACGGCCACAUUGGGACUGAGACACGGCCCAGACUCCUACGGGAGGCAGCAGUGGGGAAUCUUCCGCAAUGGACGAAAGUCUGACGGAGCAACGCCGCGUGAGCGAUGACGGCCUUCGGGUUGUAAAGCUCUGUUAAUCGGGACGAAAGGCCUCCUUGCGAAUAGUGAGAAGGAUUGACGGUACCGGAAUAGAAAGCCACGGCUAACUACGUG
rnacentral:rRNA from 1 species